UACGUAGGCAGCGAGCGUUGUUCGGAGUUACUGGGCGUAAAGGGUGUGUAGGCGGUUGUUUAAGUUUGGUGUGAAAUCUCCCGGGCUCAACUGGGAGGGUGCGCCGAAUACUGAAUGACUUGGAGUGCGGGAGAGGAAAGUGGAAUUCCUGGUGUAGCGGUGAAAUGCGUAGAUAUCAGGAGGAACACCGGUGGUGUAGACGGCUUUCUGGACCGUAACUGACGCUGAGACACGAAAAGCGUGGGUAGCAAACAGG
rnacentral:rRNA from 1 species